CCCACGUGAACAUAGAACAUACAAACUCUAUACAGAAUGGACCAGGUGGGAAGAAACCCCAAGACCUUCUUGCUGUGAGGCAACAGCACUAACCACUAAGUCACCCUGCUGCCC